rnacentral:sRNA from 1 species
AUGUACCACUCGUGCACCCCGGUGCCGAGCGUGCCGCCCGCACUCACCUCACGACCGUUCGCUACGUUUUGUCAGCC